GCGAACGCUAGCGGCGGGCUUAACACAUGCAAGUCGAACGCCCACUUUCGGGUGGGAGUGGCGAACGGGUGAGUAACACGUAGGUAAUCUGCCUUUUGGUGGGGGACAACCGAAGGAAACUUCGGCUAAUACCGCAUAUGGCCUUCGGGUCAAAGCCUUCGGGCGCCAGAAGAUGAGCCUGCGGCCCAUUAUUUAAUCCUAGUUGGCGGGGUAACGGCCCACCAAGGGUACGAUGGGUAGCUGGUCUGAGAGGAUGAUCAGCCACACUGGGACUGAGACACGGCCCAGACUCCUACGGGAGGCAGCAGUGGGGAAUAUUGCGCAAUGGGCGAAAGCCUGACGCAGCCACGCCGCGUGGGUGAUGAAGGCCUUCGGGUCGUAAAGCCCUGUCGUAGGGGACGAAUACUGACGGUACCCUACAAGAAAGCGCCGGCCAACUCCGU
rnacentral:rRNA from 1 species